GCUGGCGUAGCUCAGUUGGUAGAGCAGCGGUUUCGUAAACCGCAGGUCGUUGGUUCAACUCCAAUCGCCAGCUCCA
rnacentral:tRNA from 1 species